UGGGGAGGGUGGGCGUAGACCCACUUAAACAGGUUUACAGCCUGCCGCUUAACUCGGCCACCUAACC
rnacentral:tRNA from 1 species